rnacentral:rRNA from 1 species
UACGUAGGGACCAAGCGUUGUUCGGAUUUACUGGGCGUAAAGGGCGCGUAGGCGGCGCGGUAAGUCACUUGUGAAAUCUCUGAGCUUAACUCAGAACGGCCAAGUGAUACUGCAGUGCUAGAGUGUGGAAGGGGCAAUCGGAAUUCCCGGUGUAGCGGUGAAAUGCGCAGAUAUCGGGAAGAACACCCGUGGCGAAGGCGGUUCUCUGGGACGGUACUGACGCUGAGACGCGAAAGCGUGGGGAGCGAACAGG